AAGAGAGACUCAUACAGGUUAUGGGAUUGGCUUGAAACCAGUUUCUGGAGGUUCAAUUCCUUCCUUUGUCA
rfam:Homo sapiens chromosome 1, GRCh38 reference primary assembly.